rnacentral:rRNA from 1 species
GUGGGGAAUAUUGCACAAUGGGCGGAAGCCUGAUGCAGCAACGCCGCGUGCGGGAUGACGGCCUUCGGGUUGUAAACCGCUUUCACCAGGGGCGAAGGCAUUCUUUUGGGGUGUUGACGGUACCUGGAGAAGAAGCACCGGCUAACUACGUGCCAGCAGCCGCGGUGAUACGUAGGGUGCGAGCGUUGUCCGGAUUUAUUGGGCGUAAAGGGCUCGUAGGCGGUUGAUCGCGUCGGAAGUGAAAACUUGGGGCUUAACCCUGAGCGUGCUUUCGAUACGGGUUGACUUGAGGAAGGUAGGGGAGAAUGGAAUUCCUGGUGGAGCGGUGGAAUGCGCAGAUAUCAGGAGGAACACCAGUGGCGAAGGCGGUUCUCUGGACCUUUCCUGACGCUGAGGAGCGAAAGCGUGGGGAGCAAACAGGCUUAGAAACCCUAGUAGUCC